rnacentral:rRNA from 1 species
GGGGAUUAGUGGCGAACGGGUGAGUAACACGUGGGCAAUCUGCCCUGCACUCUGGGACAAGCCCUGGAAACGGGGUCUAAUACCGGAUAUGACACGGGAUCGCAUGGUCUCCGUGUGGAAAGCUCCGGCGGUGCAGGAUGAGCCCGCGGCCUAUCAGCUUGUUGGUGGGGUGAUGGCCUACCAAGGCGACGACGGGUAGCCGGCCUGAGAGGGCGACCGGCCACACUGGGACUGAGACACGGCCCAGACUCCUACGGGAGGCAGCAGUGGGGAAUAUUGCACAAUGGGCGCAAGCCUGAUGCAGCGACGCCGCGUGAGGGAUGACGGCCUUCGGGUUGUAAACCUCUUUCAGCAGGGAAGAAGCGCAAGUGACGGUACCUGCAGAAGAAGCACCGGCUAACUACGUGCCAGCAGCCGCGGUAAUACGUAGGGUGCGAGCGUUGUCCGGAAUUAUUGGGCGUAAAGAGCUCGUAGGCGGCCUGUCGCGUCGGAUGUGAAAGCCCGGGGCUUAACCCCGGGUCUGCAUUCGAUACGGGCAGGCUAGAGUUCGGUAGGGGAGAUCGGAAUUCCUGGUGUAGCGGUGAAAUGCGCAGAUAUCAGGAGGAACACCGGUGGCGAAGGCGGAUCUCUGGGCCGAUACUGACGCUGAGGAGCGAAAGCGUGGGGAGCGAACAGGAUUAGAUACCCUGGUAGUCCACGCCGUAAACGUUG